CUCAACUAUGUUCAUAGCAGCAUUAUUCAUAAAAUUAGAACUUGGAAACAACCUAGAUGCCCCUCAACCAAAGAAUGCAUUAAGAAAUUGUGGAACAUAUACACCAUGAAGUACUACUCAGCAGUAAAAAACAACA